rnacentral:lncRNA from 13 species
GUAGGCAGCAGAGAUAGCCUAUCUGUGGGAAAUGGAUACCUAAGAGGACUUGCAUUAAGUGAAUAUGCUCUCGUAUAAGGGCCUCAAAGGGACAGCAAGGAUUUUCUGAGGGGAAGACCUCAGUGAAGACAGGUCAGAAGUGGAAGUGAUCAGAACUAUUCCUCUCGUGUACCAUUAUCAUUUUCAUUGCUGAGCAUUUUGCCUAUGCUUUUCCCAUUUUCCAGUACACACAUCAGCCAUUCUGUAAAGGCCCCUUCACGCCUGCAAUGUAAGAUGCACCUGCUUCUCCUUCUGCCAUGAUUGUAAGUCUCC